GGGCCUACGGGAGGCAGCAGUGGGGAAUAUUGCGCAAUGGGCGAAAGCCUGACGCAGCGACGCCGCGUGGAGGAUGAAGGUCUUCGGAUUGUAAACUUCUGUUAAGUGGGAAAAAAGACUCGUUCUUAAUACGAACGGGAGAUGAUGGUACCACUAGAGAAAGCACCGGCUAAACUCGUGCCAGCAGCCGCGGUAAUACGAGUGGUGCUAGCGUUAUUCGGAUUUAUUGGGCGUAAAGGGUGCGUAGACGGUAUGACAAGGCUGUUGUUAAAUUCCGCGGCUCAACUGAGGAUCUGCGAUGGAAACUGUCAUGCUAGAGGAUGGAAGAGAGAAGUGGAAUUCUUGGAGUAGCGGUAAAAUGCGUAGAUCUCAAGAGGAACACCGAUGGCGAAGGCAGCUUCUUGGUCCACUCCUGACGUUGAGGCACGAAAGCGUGGGGAGCAAACAGGAUUAGAACCCUAGUAGUCC
rnacentral:rRNA from 1 species